GACGAACGCUGGCGGCGUGCUUAACACAUGCAAGUCGAACGGUAAGGCCCUUCGGGGUACACGAGUGGCUAACGGGUGAGUAACACGUGGGUGAUCUACCCUGCACUUCGGGAUAAGCCUGGGAAACUGGGUCUAAUACCGGAUAGGACCCUGGGAUGCAGUCCCUGGGGUGGACAGCUUUGGCGGUGUGGGAUGGGCCCGCGGCCUAUCAGCUUGUUGGUGGGGUGAUGGCCUACCAAGGCGACGACGGGUAGCCGGCCUGAGAGGGUGACCGGCCACACUGGGACUGAGAUACGGCCCAGACUCCUACGGGAGGCAGCAGUGGGGAAUAUUGCACAAUGGGCGCAAGCCUGAUGCAGCGACGCCGCGUGAGGGAUGACGGCCUUCGGGUUGUAAACCUCUUUCAGCACCGACGAAGCGCAAGUGACGGUAGGUGCAGAAGAAGGACCGGCCAACUACGUGCCAGCAGCCGCGGUAA
rnacentral:rRNA from 1 species